rnacentral:rRNA from 1 species
UACGAAGGGGGCUAGCGUUGCUCGGAAUCACUGGGCGUAAAGGGUGCGUAGGCGGGUCUUUAAGUCAGGGGUGAAAUCCUGGAGCUCAACUCCAGAACUGCCUUUGAUACUGGGAAGCUUGAGUCCGGAAGAGGUGAGUGGAACUGCGAGUGUAGAGGUGAAAUUCGUAGAUAUUCGCAAGAACACCAGUGGCGAAGGCGGCUCACUGGUCCGGUUCUGACGCUGAGGCGCGAAAGCGUGGGGAGCAAACAGG